UUGUAUUUCAAGACAUGAAAAUGUCACAGAAUUACUAUAGGUUUCUGGAUAUUAUUUAAUAUACAGUUCAGACUCCACUAACAUCAUUUACAGACAGAGUGGGUCAACAAAAUACAACACUUGGUAAUGGUAUAUAUAUUGUGGCUAUUUCCUUUUUUAGUAUUUUAUACCAGCCGUUUCUUAUAACAAGUCAAUUAAUUUCUAUCAGCUAGUUGGACUUUGAUUCGUCUUUGUAGUGAGGUUUUAACAAAUAGAAUGUGAUGUUUGAUAUUAUUUGUUGUUUUGACCCUUACUAGAUUGUCAAGGAACUGUGGAUUCUUGCUCUUUUAUUAUAUACGUAAUGGUGGAGUUUGAUUUCUUAUUUUUCAUUCUAAUUGCAGUCUAGGCAAAAAGCACUUGCAGACUUACAGCAAAUGCAGAGCGUGCAUCUUGAGAAGCUGAGUGACAUACAGUGCCAACCUGAGUCACUGCUAAAGUUCAUAACAGAGGCCUGGCUUCAGAUCGUUGAGUGCAGGCGUGUUUUGAAAUGGACAUAUACUUAUGGAUAUUAUUUACCAGAGCAUGAACAUGCCAAGAGACAGUUCUUUGAGUACUUGCAA